rnacentral:rRNA from 1 species
CCUACGGGGGGCAGCAGUGGGGAAUAUUGCACAAUGGGGGGAACCCUGAUGCAGCGACGCCGCAUGAGUGAAGAAGUAUUUCGGUAUGUAAAGCUCUGUCAGCAGGGAAGAAGAAAGACGGUACCUGACUAAGAAGCCUCGGCUAACUACGUGCCAGCAGCCGCGGUAAUACGUAGGGGGCAAGCGUUAUCCAGAUUUACUGGGUGUAAAGGGAGCGUAGGCGGCCUGCUAAGUCUGGAGUGAAAGGUACCGGCUCAACCGGUACAGGCUCUGGAAACUGGCGGGCUAGAGAGCAGGAGAGGGCG